GCACAAGCGGUGGAGCAUGUGGUUUAAUUCGACGCAACGCGCAGAACCUUACCAGCCCUUGACAUCCCGGUCGCGGACUCCAGAGAUGGAGUUCUUCAGUUCGGCUGGACCGGAGACAGGUGCUGCAUGGCUGUCGUCAGCUCGUGUCGUGAGAUGUUGGGUUAAGUCCCGCAACGAGCGCAACCCCCGUCCUUAGUUGCUACCAUUUAGUUGAGCACUCUAAGGAGACUGCCGGUGAUAAGCCGCGAGGAAGGUGGGGAUGACGUCAAGUCCUCAUGGCCCUUACGGGCUGGGCUACACACGUGCUACAAUGGCGGUGACAAUGGGAUGCUAAGGGGCGACCCUUCGCAAAUCUCAAAAAGCCGUCUCAGUUCGGAUUGGGCUCUGCAACUCGAGCCCAUGAAGUUGGAAUCGCUAGUAAUCGUGGAUCAGCACGCCACGGUGAAUACGUUCCCGGGC
rnacentral:rRNA from 1 species